AUUGAACGCUGGCGGCAGGCCUAACACAUGCAAGUCGAGCGAGCGGCGGACGGGUGAGUAAUGUCUGGGAAACUGCCUGAUGGAGGGGGAUAACUACUGGAAACGGUAGCUCAUCCCGCAUACCAUCAGAUGUGCCCAGAGGGGAUUAGCUAGUAGGUGGGGUAACGGCUCAACUAGGCGACGAUCCCUAGAUGGUCGGAGAGGAUGACCAGCCAAACUGGAACUGAGACACGGUCCAGACUCCUACGGGAGGCAGCAGUGGGGAAUAUUGCACAAUGGGCGCAAGCCUGAUGCAGCCAUGCCGCGUGUAUGAAGAAGGCCUUCGGGUUGUAAAGUACUUUCAGCGGGGAGGCGUUACCCGCAGAAGAAGCACCGGCUAACUCCGUGCCAGCAGCCGCGGUAAUAC
rnacentral:rRNA from 1 species